ACCUGGGUGGCUCAGUUGGUUGAGCGUCCGACUUUGGCUCAGGUCGUGAUCUCAUGGUUCGUGGGUUCAAGCCCCACGUCGGGCU
rnacentral:tRNA from 1 species